GCGUUAGGUAGGACCGGGGAGCUAGCCCUGCCUCAUACCUCAAAAGGGAUACAUGGAGGGGUCAGUAACCUGCAAUGGGAUCGGAAGCGGAUGUCGAAGGACUCGGUGCGCUCUGUCGAUGUCCUGCCCAGGGGGGUCGGCGGUUGCACCGUGUACACCUGUAGGGGUGUAACUGGGCAUUCGACGAGUGAAACUGGCCAGGCCCGGGAGGGAGCAACCUAAGCUCGAACGUUGGACGCUCCCUGGAUAUCGGGACGGAGGAGGGUUCCGUGACACCGCGAUGUCUCAAUCCGUGAACAGAGUGGGGGCUAGCGC
rnacentral:SRP_RNA from 1 species